rnacentral:rRNA from 1 species
GACGAACGCUGGCGGCGUGCUUAACACAUGCAAGUCGAACGGAAAGGCCCUGCUUGCAGGGUACUCGAGUGGCGAACGGGUGAGUAACACGUGGGUGAUCUGCCCUGCACUUCGGGAUAAGCCUGGGAAACUGGGUCUAACACCGGAGAGGAGCCAUUUUUAGUGUGAUGGUUGGAAAGUUUUUUUCGGUGUAGGAUGAGCUGGCGGCCUAUCAGCUUGUUGGUGGGGUAAUGGCCUACCAAGGCGGCGACGGGUAGCCGGCCUGAGAGGGUGGACGGCCACAGUGGGACUGAGAUACGGCCCAGACUCCUACGGGAGGCAGCAGUGGGGAAGAUUGCACAAUGGGCGCAAGCCUGAUGCAGCGACGCCGCGGGGGGGAUGACGGCCUUCGGGUUGGAAACUCCUUUCGCUAGGGACGAAGCUUUUUGUGACGGUACCUAGAGAAGAAGCACCGGCUAACUACGUG